rnacentral:rRNA from 1 species
GAUGAACGCUGGCGGCGUGCCUAAUACAUGCAAGUCGAGCGAACAGACGAGGAGCUUGCUCCUCUGACGUUAGCGGCGGACGGGUGAGUAACACGUGGAUAACCUACCUAUAAGACUGGGAUAACUUCGGGAAACCGGAGCUAAUACCGGAUAAUAUAUUGAACCGCAUGGUUCAAUAGUGAAAGACGGUUUUGCUGUCACUUAUAGAUGGAUCCGCGCCGCAUUAGCUAGUUGGUAAGGUAACGGCUUACCAAGGCAACGAUGCGUAGCCGACCUGAGAGGGUGAUCGGCCACACUGGAACUGAGACACGGUCCAGACUCCUACGGGAGGCAGCAGUAGGGAAUCUUCCGCAAUGGGCGAAAGCCUGACGGAGCAACGCCGCGUGAGUGAUGAAGGUCUUCGGAUCGUAAAACUCUGUUAUUAGGUAAGAACAAAUGUGUAAGUAACUAUGCGCGUCUUGACGGUACCUAAUCAGAAAGCCACGGCUAACUACGUG